AUUGAACGCUGGCGGCAGGCCUAACACAUGCAAGUCGAACGAGCGGCGGACGGGUGAGUAAUGUCUGGGAAACUGCCUGAUGGAGGGGGAUAACUACUGGAAACGGUAGCUGAUACCGCAUCCUAUCGGAUGUGCCCAUAUGGGAUUAGCUAGUUGGUGGGGUAAAGGAUCACCUAUGCGACGAUCCCUAGCUGGUCUGAGAGGAUGACCAGCCACACUGGAACUGUGACACGGUCCAGACUCCUACGGGAGGCAGCAGUGGGGAAUAUUGCACAAUGGGCGCAAGCCUGAUGCAGCCAUGCCGCGUGUAUGAAGAAGGCCUUCGGUUUGUAAAGUACUUUCAGCGGGGAGGCGUUACCCGCAGAAGAAGCACCGGCUAACUCCGUGCCAGCCGCCGCGGUAAUAC
rnacentral:rRNA from 1 species